GCUUGCUAGAGAUGAUUAGUGGCGGACGGGUGAGUAACAUUUAGGAAUCUGCCUAGUAGUGGGGGAUAGCUCGGGGAAACUCGAAUUAAUACCGCAUACGACCUACGGGUGAAAGGGGGCGCAAGCUCUUGCUAUUAGAUGAGCCUAAAUCAAAUUAGCUUGUUGGUGGGGUAAAGGCCCACCAAGGCGACGAUCUGUAACUGGUCUGAGAGGAUGAUCAGUCACACCGGAACUGAGACACGGUCCGGACUCCUACGGGAGGCAGCAGUGGGGAAUAUUGGACAAUGGGGGCAACCCUGAUCCAGCCAUGCCGCGAGUGUGAAGAAGGCCUUUUGGUUGUAAAGCACUUUAACAGGGAGGAAAGGCUAAUGGUUAAUACCCAUUAGAUUAGACGUUACCUGCAGAAUAAGCACCGGCUAACUCUGUGCCAGCAGCCGCGGUAAUACAGAGGGUGCGAGCGUUAAUCGGAAUUACUGGGCGUAAAGCGAGUGUAGGUGGCUCAUUAAGUCACAUGUGAAAUCCCCGGGCUUAACCUGGGAACUGCAUGUGAUACUGGUGGUGCUAGAAUAUGUGAGAGGGAAGUAGAAUUCCAGGUGUAGCGGUGAAAUGCGUAGAGAUCUGGAGGAAUACCGAUGGCGAAGGCAGCUUCCUGGCAUAAUAUUGACACUGAGAUUCGAAGCGUGGGUAGCAAACAGGAUUAGAUACCCUGGUAGUCCACGCCGUAAACGAUGUCUACUAGCCGUUGGGGUCCUUGAGACUUUAGUGGCGCAGUUAACGCGAUAAGUAGACCGCCUGGGGAGUACGGCCGCAAGGUUAAAACUCAAAUGAAUUGACGGGGGCCCGCACAAGCGGUGGAGCAUGUGGUUUAAUUCGAUGCAACGCGAAGAACCUUACCUGGUCUUGACAUAGUGAGAAUCCUGCAGAGAUGCGGGAGUGCCUUCGGGAAUUCACAUACAGGUGCUGCAUGGCUGUCGUCAGCUCGUGUCGUGAGAUGUUGGGUUAAGUCCCGCAACGAGCGCAACCCUUUUCCUUAUUUGCCAGCGGGUUAAGCCGGGAACUUUAAGGAUACUGCCAGUGACAAACUGGAGGAAGGCGGGGACGACGUCAAGUCAUCAUGGCCCUUACGACCAGGGCUACACACGUGCUACAAUGGUAGGUACAGAGGGUUGCUACACAGCGAUGUGAUGCUAAUCUCAAAAAGCCUAUCGUAGUCCGGAUUGGAGUCUGCAACUCGACUCCAUGAAGUCGGAAUCGC
rnacentral:rRNA from 1 species